ensembl:lncRNA
CGGCAUUAAUGCAAGGUUCUCGAGUUUCACACGGCACAGAUUCUCCAGGGAGACGCGCCGCUCCUGUGGGAGUCACCUGAUACAAACCCCUCUCUAAAGUGCCGGUUUAUGUUCCAGAGAAAAGAGGCAUCUGGGCCCUGCUUUACUCAGAUGCCUGCGCUUCAGAAGCGUAGUUGGGAAUUAACUGUUCGAAAAGAUGGGUUUAUUAUCGUGACACUCCCUUCAGGCAUGUAAAGGAUGAUUGCAGGGAUUUUUCUGGUGCAGACGGCUUCAGUUUGGUUUUCUUCAGCAUGUGUAGCCUUGGGAUGAACGACCGUCAUGGUUGGAGUUUGAAGAGAAUCUUUCCACCCGAGUAACAUCACGUCCAGUUUAAAGUCACAGAUAUUUGAAGCAGAUAUCCAGGCAUCUACAGCCCAUGAAAACAAACACAUCAAUAGAAUGCAACUGAGAAAAGGCCCAUGUUUACUCCAGAUUACAGCCCUCAAAGAUCUGCAUCAGAGCACCUGUGAUGUGGAUAAUGAGUGUGUAGAACACCAAACACGAGUGUGAGGGCCAGAUAAAGGAUGAAUUAUAGAUACGGCGCUCCAGGGCAAAACACUGCUGCGGGGGGAGAGAUGGAGAAUCUGGAGGAGCGUUCCUGGAUAAUGAAUCCCACAGGCUGCAUGAGAUCAGGAGGAGAGCAGCACUAGAAGGGGAGCGUGUUUUGUGGAGUGAUGGAGAAUUCCCAGGUAAUUGCAGUCAAGAUGCUGUGACUUGGAGGAGGACGUGUGUUUGGAUCCCGGGAUACUCGAACUUUUCCUCUCAGUGUAUUUCAUUUUAUCACAC